AUAGUGAGACUAUCUCAAAAAAAAAAAAAAAAAAUUAGCAGGGACUCUGUGCAAGGAUGACACAUAAAUUCAUGAAGUGUUCCUUAUUUUU
rnacentral:snRNA from 1 species